rnacentral:rRNA from 1 species
UACGGAGGGAGCUAGCGUUGUUCGGAAUUACUGGGCGUAAAGCGUACGUAGGCGGUUAUUCAAGUCAGGGGUGAAAGCCUGGAGCUCAACUCCAGAACUGCCCUUGAAACUGGGAAGCUAGAAUCUUGGAGAGGCGAGUGGAAUUCCGAGUGUAGAGGUGAAAUUCGUAGAUAUUCGGAAGAACACCAGUGGCGAAGGCGACUGACUGGACAUGUAUUGACGCUGAGGUGCGAAAGCGUGGGGAGCAAACAGG